CAGCCAGCUGAGCAGCAGAGGGAUGCUGCACCCUGGGAAAGGAGGCAGAGCAGCUGCCCUUCCUCAGAGAUCAUGUUUAAAGCAAUCCUUGUGGGUUUGCCCUACAUCAGAUUGUUGUUUUAGCCCUGGUUCUCCAGACCUGGAUUUCCAUCAGGGAAUGACUCUCCAAUGUGUACAUGCUCAUCUGGCUCACUGCAGCAUGCCCUGGCUGUGACACUGGGAAUUGGCUCUUUCCAACUCUCUCCAGCUCCAGGUGUGUCUCUGCCAGGAGGCUCCAGUGCAACAUUCCUGCCUCCAUCACUGGGCUGGAUUUCUGCCUUUUUUCCUUUUCCUCCUCCCACCAGAUUUGCAUGCACAGAAGAAUCACAAGAACAGAAGGUGAAGCUAGAUCUUUCUCCCCAUUUUUUUUAAAUUUUAUUUUGGCAUCCAUUGCCUGCUUUUUGCCAAACUGCUCCAGUUCCUCUUCCCCAGUGCCCACGCUGCCUGCCCAGCAUGGGGGACACGCAGUGCCAGGCAUGGUGGCCAUCAAUUCCCUGCAAGAGGAGGAGGUGCCAGAAACACCAACCCAAAAGCCAGGGGAACACCUGUGUGGGUUUGGAUCACCCUCUGACGAGGAGCUGGUGCACCAGCAGCUGAGCUGAGGUCGCUGCUGUCUCCCAGUGGGUGGGAAAGGCUCAUCACACGGGUGGAAGCCUUGGAGCUCCCCACCUGCAUCCUCACUGCCUCUCCUAAAUGCAGUCAGCGUGUUUCAUCAUCCUUCCCACCUUUCUUUGACGCCUUCCCAGCUUUACUACAUCCCUUUCCACCUGUGCAGUGCGCGGUGUGUGGGUGCACGGGGAAUUCAUCCAGUGGCAGCGUGACUGGGGCUGUUGAGUUCUGUUCUUCUCUGAGUAAUCCCUAACACUCAAGAUGCGUUUUUUCUUUUAUCUCUGCUGAGCAAUGAGCUGAUGUUUUCAGAGAACUAUCUAUUAUAACCCUGAGAUCUUGUUCCUGAAAGUUAAUAGUCAGCUCAGAGCCCAUCAUUUUAUUUCUGAAGCUGGGGUUGGCUUCUCCCACGUGCGCCACUAUUUAUCCGCACUGCAUUUCUCCUGUCACUUUCUUGGCCAGUCACUCACUUCAAGGUCCUUCUGCAAUUCCUCACGGUCACUCCUCGUCCGUAAUACCCUAAAUAAUUUGGAAGCAUUAACAAAAAGCUUUCAUUUCAGUCUCCACUCCCUUCUUGUCCCAGGCAGGCUCUAUAUAGGGUCUAGGAGAAAUUUUGGGGAAACUCGUGGACCCACAGAAAAACUGUGUCCCAUGGAAAGGGAUGGGAGAGAAGAGCCCAUGUGGCUGCCUGUGGUCCUGAUGGCCAUCAGCAUCUGGAGACAGUGGGGACAGGCUCCAGGCAACCCAAGUGACAGAUAUCUGCAGGGACAACUUGUUUUGAUACAUUACCCCCAAGAUUCAUCAGUGAAUGGGAUUGAAGAGCCUUUAAUGACCAUAAAGAGUGAAAAAUUCCAGUGGAGGAAUGGCCGUGGCUUUCCUACUCAAGCAGAUGCUCAUCAGAAUUGGUACUCUCCAGGGAAUCGCUCCAGAAGGUGGAUGGAAUAAAGUGAUUUUCAGUAUUAAAAAAAUAAAAAGAGAGACAUCAGAGCUCCUGGAAGCUGUUCAGUUGGCACCGGGAAGGCUGCGAAUAACAGACGCCCAAGGGAACCAAUGUUUGAAGCCAAAGCAAUUUGGGUAACAGGACAGGCUUGAGGGGAAAAAACCACACAGCUUUUGGAUUCUGCUGCACAUUGAUACUAAAAAAGAAGCCACACAUGUUGUGAAUGUACAGCCCAGGAACACAUUUUGUAGACACAUUCCUAACGUGGCACGUGGUGUGCUCGUUCCUAUUAUUGAUAAUAGUUAACUGCAGCUCCUCCUCCUGCUUUUCCCUGCUCAGCCAUGGAAAACAUGGGAUCCAGAUGCUGUUAAACAGCUUUAGAAAUUUCCAGGUGAACAUAUAGUGGCUGUUUUGAGGGUCUGCCUUGGAUUCACACGGUUUACAGUGCAGAGCAGCUGUGUGCAGGGAGGGAUGGAUCCAUUUGUUUCCCAUAUUGCCACCUAAAAGGGAGGGCUACAUUCCAUCCAAGUAGCUCUGGCAUUGGCUUUAUUUGACCAGUGAGGCCAUAUAGCAAGAACGACAGGAUUCAAUCUGACCAGAAGCACUUCUCUUAAAAUGUCAGAUGAUGCCUUGGGCCCCCACAGAGCUGGGAGGAUGUUUUCCUUCUGCAAACCAGAAUCAAACCUCUCCAUUCCUCUUUAUCUCACUUAUAAGCCCAGGGGAAUCCCUGGGAAGCUGGUGAUAAAUCAACCUUUCUUUUGGAGGAGAGGAAGAAGUGUUCUUCAUCUUCCUCUCCCCAAGCCACAGUCUAGCCUCUGUGCUCUUCACGUGUCUGUCUGUGUAAAGGGACAAGGGACAUGUUAC